UACGGAGGGUGCAAGCGUUAUCCGGAUUUACUGGGUUUAAAGGGUGCGUAGGUGGGCAGGUAAGUCAGUGGUGAAAUCUCCGGGCUUAACCCGGAAACUGCCAUUGAUACUAUCUGUCUUGAAUUUCCUGGAGGUAAGCGGAAUAUGUCAUGUAGCGGUGAAAUGCUUAGAUAUGACAUAGAACACCAAUUGCGAAGGCAGCUUACUACGGGAACAUUGACACUGAGGCACGAAAGCGUGGGGAUCAAACAGG
rnacentral:rRNA from 1 species